rnacentral:rRNA from 1 species
UGGGGAAUAUUGCACAAUGGGGGAAACCCUGAUGCAGCGACGCCGCGUGAACGAAGAAGGUAUUCGUAUCGUAAAGUUCUGUCCUAUGGGAAGAUAAUGACAGUACCAUAGAAGAAAGCUCCGGCUAAAUACGUGCCAGCAGCCGCGGUAAUACGUAGGGAGCGAGCGUUGUCCGGAAUUAUUGGGCGUAAAGGGUACGCAGGCGGUUUAAUAAGUCGAAUGUUAAAGAUCGGGGCUCAACCCCGUAAAGCAUUGGAAACUGAUAAACUUGAGUAGUGGAGAGGAAAGUGGAAUUCCUAGUGUAGUGGUGAAAUACGUAGAUAUUAGGAGGAAUACCAGUAGCGAAGGCGACUUUCUGGACACAAACUGACGCUGAGGUACGAAAGCGUGGGGAGCAAACAGG